ACCUUCGUGGUGUAGUGGUCAGCACGCUCGGCGCGUAUUCGAGAGGUCCGUGGUUCGAUUCCCGGCGAGGGUA
rnacentral:tRNA from 1 species